AUAUAUAUAGAGCAGGGCUGCUAUGCUCUCAUGAGCACGGAGGCCUCCGUGCUCCUGAGUCGUUUUCGAUGAUGGAGUUUUCGAAUCGACGAUCGACUCCGUUAAACUUGAUCUAGCGUAUUUAGAGUUUCUAGAAAAUAAUUUUUGCGACUUUUUAAUAUCAUUUACCUAGCAAUCGAAAGGAUUCAAAAUCAAUAAUUUUUAACCGCUGAAAAUAAAAAUCCUAUAAAAAGUGGUGAUAUAGCACUAAAAUUUUCGAUCAGAAAUAUUAAUCUUGUUGUAGAUAGUAUAAAGAAUUUUGUAUCAAAAUUUCAUCUGAUUUGCAUACUUCUACACCGUUAAACUUGAAAACGGCAGAUAUUAGCCAUUAAAAAUUAUGAAUUUUGAAUCCUUUCGAUCACUAGGUAAAUAAUAUCCAAAAAUCACAAAAAUUAUUUUCUAGAAACUUUAAAUGCGCUAGAUCAAGUUUAACGGAGCCGAUCGUCGAUUCGAAAAUUCUAUCAUUGAAAACGGCUCAGGAGCACGGAGGCCUCCGUGCUCCUGAGAGCACAGCAACCCUACUAUAUAUAUAUAUAUAUAUAUAUAUAAGAGUGAGCUAGUAUGCUUCUCGAUGCACGGAGCCUUUCGUGCUUCCAAAUCGUUUUCGAUGUUGGGACUUUUGAAUCGACGAUUGGUUCCAUUAAACUUGAUUUAGAGUAUCUGAAGUACCUAGAAAAUAAAUUUUGUGAUUUUUCGAUAUUAUUUGCCUAGUGAUCGAAGGGGCUCAAAAUUAAUAAUUUUAAUGACCGUGGUGAGCCGUUUGCAAGUUUAACGGUGUAGAAAUAUUCAAAUCACGUAAACUUUUAAUAUAAAAUUCUUUAUACUAUAUAAAACAAGAUCAAUUUUUUUGAUCUAAAAUUUUAAUGUCAUAUCAUCAUAUUUUGUAAGAUUUUUAUUUUUAGCCGUUGAUUUUGAGCCACUUCGAUCACUAGGCAAAUGAUAUCAAAAAGUAAUAAAAUUUAUUUUCUAGAUACUUAAAAUACUCUAGAUCAAAUUUAACGGAGCUGAUCGUCGAUUCGAAAGUCCCAACAUCGAAAAUAAUUUGAAAGCAUGGCGCGCUCCGUGCUUCAAGAAGCAUACCAGCCGCACUCAUAUGUAUAAUAUAGAGUUCGACUAUUAUACUAUUAUGAGUAUAGAUUUCUUUAUACUUUACUUCAUUGAUUAUUUUCAUCUGUUAAAUCAUACCAUUCAAUCAACCAUCCACUCAACUUUAGGAAUCACUAUUAUACUAAAUC
rnacentral:lncRNA from 1 species